rnacentral:lncRNA from 1 species
ACAGCGAGUGCAGAGGGUGCAGUCGAGUUGAAACGGACCACAGAAAGGGGUGACUGGCGAAGGGUCUGACCCUUGACCCAUUCGGACUUAUCAAGGAUGGUUGCUGGAGAUGUCUUGAAGAGAGAUGCUGAGGCCAUGGUUGGUUUCUGUGAGCUCAACUUCUAUCCUUUUGAUGGAAUUAAACACCACUCAUUGUGUGUUUGGGUUCACUGGUUUUAUACUUCUGUUUGGUGUCACAGGCGAUAUGCUUUUUGAGGCCAAAAUGUGUUUUCCAGUAGAAUGUUGCCACGUGGGUUGAUAACUUUGCUGACAUGGCGUUGGGAAUUGAGCAGGAGGUUAUGAGAUGAUAUGUGAUGAAGGGACGAAAUUUGUCCUCGAUGGGAGUCCUUAUGAUUGCCUUUAGUUGAAAAGGAUGAUUUGGAAUGAAUUUCACAUAAAUGGUCCCUGGACUUGCGCUUAUGUUACACACUGGCUCUUGGUUUUGCACCUUUUUUGUUUGUUUUCAUCUAUUCGCUAUGUUUUUUUCUAACAACUAUUUGUAAAAGGUGAAAUACAAGAAACAGAAACUUAUUUUUAUUGUUUUUUUUGUUAUAACAUCAUAUUUUAAUUAUUUCUACUAUAAUUUUGUACUAUGAAGAAUCUAUUCAUUUAAUGAAAUAACAUCCAAAUACAAAACAAUUUUAUACCCUAAUAACAAAAAAAAAUACAAUUACAAUGUUAUAACUAUGUAAUUUUUAAAUUACAAUGAUUAAUAAGAAAAUAUAAAAAUAGUCUUUGACCAAUCUGCAUCAAAAAUGGGAUGUUUGGGUUGUAAGUAUGGAUUUAAGAAUAGAUUAUCGCGUAUGAGUUAUCCCUUGUAACAGAAAAAAAAAAUUAUUAAAUAAA